AGAGUUUGAUCAUGGCUCAGAUUGAACGCUGGCGGCAGGCCUAACACAUGCAAGUCGAGCGGUAGCACAGAGAGCUUGCUCUCGGGUGACGAGCGGCGGACGGGUGAGUAAUGUCUGGGAAACUGCCUGAUGGAGGGGGAUAACUACUGGAAACGGUAGCUAAUACCGCAUAACGUCGCAAGACCAAAGUGGGGGACCUUCGGGCCUCAUGCCAUCAGAUGUGCCCAGAUGGGAUUAGCUAGUAGGUGGGGUAACGGCUCACCUAGGCGACGAUCCCUAGCUGGUCUGAGAGGAUGACCAGCCACACUGGAACUGAGACACGGUCCAGACUCCUACGGGAGGCAGCAGUGGGGAAUAUUGCACAAUGGGCGCAAGCCUGAUGCAGCCAUGCCGCGUGUGUGAAGAAGGCCUUCGGGUUGUAAAGCACUUUCAGCGGGGAGGAAGGCGAUAAGGUUAAUAACCUUGUCGAUUGACGUUACCCGCAGAAGAAGCACCGGCUAACUCCGUGCCAGCAGCCGCGGUAAUACGGAGGGUGCAAGCGUUAAUCGGAAUUACUGGGCGUAAAGCGCACGCAGGCGGUCUGUCAAGUCGGAUGUGAAAUCCCCGGGCUUAACCUGGGAACUGCAUUCGAAACUGGCAGGCUAGAGUCUUGUAGAGGGGGGUAGAAUUCCAGGUGUAGCGGUGAAAUGCGUAGAGAUCUGGAGGAAUACCGGUGGCGAAGGCGGCCCCCUGGACAAAGACUGACGCUCAGGUGCGAAAGCGUGGGGAGCAAACAGGAUUAGAUACCCUGGUAGUCCACGCCGUAAACGAUGUCGAUUUGGAGGUUGUGCCCUUGAGGCGUGGCUUCCGGAGCUAACGCGUUAAAUCGACCGCCUGGGGAGUACGGCCGCAAGGUUAAAACUCAAAUGAAUUGACGGGGGCCCGCACAAGCGGUGGAGCAUGUGGUUUAAUUCGAUGCAACGCGAAGAACCUUACCUGGUCUUGACAUCCACAGAACUUAGCAGAGAUGCUUUGGUGCCUUCGGGAACUGUGAGACAGGUGCUGCAUGGCUGUCGUCAGCUCGUGUUGUGAAAUGUUGGGUUAAGUCCCGCAACGAGCGCAACCCUUAUCCUUUGUUGCCAGCGGUUAGGCCGGGAACUCAAAGGAGACUGCCAGUGAUAAACUGGAGGAAGGUGGGGAUGACGUCAAGUCAUCAUGGCCCUUACGACCAGGGCUACACACGUGCUACAAUGGCAUAUACAAAGAGAAGCGACCUCGCGAGAGCAAGCGGACCUCAUAAAGUAUGUCGUAGUCCGGAUUGGAGUCUGCAACUCGACUCCAUGAAGUCGGAAUCGCUAGUAAUCGUAGAUCAGAAUGCUACGGUGAAUACGUUCCCGGGCCUUGUACACACCGCCCGUCACACCAUGGGAGUGGGUUGCAAAAGAAGUAGGUAGCUUAACCUUCGGGAGGGCGCUUACCACUUUGUGAUUCAUGACUGGGGUGAAGUCGUAACAAGGUAACCGUAGGGGAACCUGCGGUUGGAUCACCU
rnacentral:rRNA from 1 species